CUGUUUACAUGAACCACGACCAACUUAGCUCACUUCCGUCAACUUCCAUUUCUAUUUUAAACUCAAACGUGGGAGAAGCAACAUUCAUUUGAGAUGUGAACUAGUAAUUAAUGGAUGCUGCGUCCCUGCGCUGGCAUUUGAAAUUGAAAUGGAAAAUGGAGUCUAAAUCAAUACUCUGAUAUUGGCACCAAGAACCGUCAAAAUGGUCCAUUGAUAAAGUAUCAAAAUAGGCCAAAAUGAGGAAAUCUGAACGCUUUGCCUGAGAAAUUAGAGUUUGGGAAGAGCCCUUGAAGAAUGGAAACUUUGCUUCGAUCGAAAAGUGGUUUGGAUCGCAAAGGAACCUCCUGUCCCUUAUAAAAUAAAAAUAAAAAGAACUGUUUUAAAA
rnacentral:sRNA from 1 species